rnacentral:lncRNA from 1 species
UCAUCACCUUUUUGAUUGGACUAGCAGAGGUUGGACUGUCGGAAGGCUGAAAAUGUAGAGGGGUAAGCAUCAUGGAGGUGGUGGUGUCAUUGGCUAUGGCAAUAGCUUAGGCCAUGACUAUCAGGAGAAGAGAAAAGAAGAGAGAGAGAUAAAGGAAGGAAGAAAAAAGUUGCAUGAGAGGAUGAAGAGAGAGAGAGAGAAGGGAAGGG